rnacentral:rRNA from 1 species
AAUCUUCCGCAAUGGGCUAAAGCCUGACGGAGCAACGCCGCGUGAGUGAAGAAGGUCUGCGGUUCGUAAAGCUCUGUCUCCGGUAACGAAUGAGUCGGUAACCGAGGAGGAAGCCACGGCAAACUACCUGCCAGCAGCCGCGGUACUACGUAGGUGGCGAGCGUUGUCCGGAAUUACUGGGCGUAAAGCGCGCGUAGACGGCUUAGUAAGUCAGAUGUGAAAGACUCGGGCUCAACCUUGGGGCGGCAUCUGAGACUGUUGAGCAUGAGUGCAGGAGAGGCAAGUGGAAUUCCCAGUGUAGCAGUGAACUGCGUAGAUAUUAGGAGGAACACCAGUGGCGAAGGCGGCUUACUGGACUGUAACUGACACUGAGGAUCGAAAGCGUGGGGAGCAAACAGG